rnacentral:rRNA from 1 species
UACGUAGGGUGCAAGCGUUGUCCGGAAUUAUUGGGCGUAAAGAGCUCGUAGGCGGUUUGGUAAGUCGGAUGUGAAAUCUCCACGCUCAACGUGGAGGGGCCAUUCGAGACUGCUAUGACUAGAGUCCGGUAGAGGAGUGUGGAAUUCCCGGUGUAGCGGUGAAAUGCGCAGAGAUCGGGAGGAACACCCGUAGCGAAGGCGGCACUCUGGGCCGGUACUGACGCUGAGGAGCGAAAGCGUGGGGAGCAAACAGG